rfam:Gossypium arboreum cultivar AKA8401 contig_22102_3, whole genome shotgun sequence.
AUCCCGUGGUGAGGGCAUUUACGCAGUAGCUCUUUGAAUCUUUCUCAUACCUCGUAUAGGGACUCAUCAUCCAUCUACUGAAAAGUGGUGAUCUCAUUCGAAACU